GAAAAUGGGUUGGCUGAUUUUCGA
rnacentral:siRNA from 1 species